ensembl:lncRNA
UACAUAUAUAUAUAGGUCAGAUGAAAAAUAAAGUAAAACAGUUUAAGUUUGAAAAUAAAUAGCUUAUUUGGUGCAAUGGUGAAGACUAAAGCGAAUAUAAAUAUCUAAAUGACUGAAACAGAAAGUAGUGCAGCUGCUUUGUUUACAGGGUUACUGGGGCAAUGGAUGCCUUUUUACCUGAGCUAAAUCGUCACUUUUUUAAAGUUCAAAAAUCAUAUGAGGCUGUAUCGCUUUUUUUCCAUAUAUAAAUUUAAGAAAUCAAUACAUUUGUUAUAGGCUACCAUGUAAGUUAGGAUGUUUAAUACAUUUUAUUUGCACUCAUGCUCCUAAAUACAUUUUCCAGUUCGCACACAUCUAGUUUUAGUCGCAAAUGCGAGUGAAAUGCUCGCACUGUCGAGCCCUGCUACAAGUUAUCGACUCAUGCCACUAAAAUAAAACAGCAUGGGUUUAUAGUACUGUGUAUAUCAUGCAUCGUCCAACAUCCCGGUUUUUCUCACACAGUCUAAAUGUAAUUUGUUCUGCAGGGCUGGUCGUUUCCUCUAUCGCUUCAUUCCUGUGGCCCCCUGUGUGGUUUGACAGAUAGAGGUUAAGACGCUCUCCUUACUUUGCCGACUCUACGUGUCACUUUCAGGACCCAUUACAUGUGACAAACUGGAACAUUUUGCUUGGAGCACUCAUUGACUUUUAUGCAAUGCUGGCUAUUUGCUUUCUCUAUUCCCAGUCCGGAUUGAAUUUCACCUUCCCGGGGCCAAGACUCAUGCGAGCGCAAAGUGUUUUGUAUUAAGUGUUUAGUAUUGAGUCAUGACAUUUUAACCAUCCACUCCUCCUUGUUAUCCACAGGUUCGAAACACAGUCAACAGAAUCAAAGAAAGAAGAAAGGCCUUAAAUUUCUCCAACUGUGCCAGUUCCAGGCCUUCCAGUUCAGUGGGCAGUUCUCGGCCGGGCAGCUCUCCACUACCAGGUGUUUUGGACGGGCAAACAGUCACUACCAGCCACUCCAGCAGUUCAUUGACCCACAGCGACAGCAUCACCCAGAAUUUUGACAAAACAAGGCAUCUGUCCCUCCCCUGUGUCCACGACAACCUAAAUGAAGACUUGCGAUGCCCUGACAGUGGUGUCCACCUCUCUGGACAGGUAAGGCCUCACGCCACUUCUGCGCCCAUCUAUCAAUAAGGAUCCAAGGUUAUUUGACAUCUGAAAAGAAAAUCAAUUUG